rnacentral:rRNA from 1 species
CAGGUACAGCGGGAAGCCACCUGGCGACAGGGAGCGGAACCCGAAAGCCUGUCUCAGUUCGGAUUGGAGUCUGCAACCCGACUCCAUGAAGCUGGAUUCGCUAGUAAUCGCGCAUCAGCCACGGCGCGGUGAAUACGUUCCCGGGCCUUGUACACACCGCCCGUCAAGCCAUGGAAGCCGGGGGUGCCUGAAGUGCGCUGCCGCAAGGAGCGCCCUAGGGUAAAACCGGUGACUGGGGCUAAGUCGUAACAAGGUAAC